AAUCCGGGUGGCAAUGGGAAGCUGUGAUGCGGAGCGAAAUACAAGUAGCGAAGUCAGUGAGCCAUGCGUCAAGAAAAGCCGCUAUUGUUUAUACCGUACCCGUACCGUAAACCGACACAGGUGGAUGAGGAGAGAAUCCUAAGGCCGGCGGAAGAAGCAUUGUCAAGGAACUCGGCAAAAUGACCCCGUAACUUCGGGAGAAGGGGUGCCACUGAGAAGUGGCCGCAGAGAAUAGGCUCAAGCAACUGUUUAGCAAAAACACAGGUCUAUGCGAAACCGAAAGGUGAGGUAUAUGGGCUGACGCCUGCCCGGUGCUGGAAGGUUAAGAGGAGAGGUUAGCGGAAACGCGAAGCUUUGAAUUUAAGCCCCAGUAAACGGCGGCCGUAACAAUAACGGUCCUAAGGUAGCGAAAUUCCUUGUCGGGUAAGUUCCGACCCGCACGAAAGGCGUAAUGAUUUGAGCGCUGUCUCGACAAUGCAUCCGGUGAAAUUGAAGUACCAGUGAAGAUGCUGGUUACCUGCGCCAGGACGGAAAGACCCCAUGGAGCUUUACUCCAGUUUGGUACUGGGGUCCGGUAUUGCAUGUACAGGAUAGGUGGGAGGCUAGGAAGCAGCAACGCCAGUUGCUGCGGAGCCGCUGUUGGGAUACCACCCUUGCAGUACUGGGCUUCUAACCAGCCGCCGUGAACCGGCGGUGGGACAAUGCCAGACGGGGAGUUUGACUGGGGCGGUCGCCUCCGAAAGGGUAUCGGAGGCGCCCAAAGGUUCCCUCAGAAUGGACGGAAACCAUUCGAAGAGUGCAAAGGCAGAAGGGAGCUUGACUGCGACACCGACGGGUGGAGCAGGUACGAAAGUAGGGCUUAGUGAUCCGGUGGUAUUAAGUGGGAAUGCCAUCGCUCAACGGAUAAAAGCUACCCUGGAUAACAGGCUUAUCACUCCCAAGAGUUCACAUCGACGGAGUGGUUUGGCACCUCGAUGUCGGCUCAUCGCAUCCUGGGGCUGUAGUAGGUCCCAAGGGUUGGGCUUUCGCCCAUUAAAGCGGUACGCGAGCUGGGCUCAGAACGUCGUGAGACAGUUCGGUCCCUAUCCGGCGUGGGCGUAGGAUAUCUGAGAGGAGCUGUCCUUAGUACGAGAGGACCGGGAUGGACGGACCGCUGGUGUACCGGUUAGACUGCCAAGUCUACGGCCGGGUAGCCAAGUCCGGAAGGGAUAAACGCUGAAGGCAUCUAAGCGUGAAGCCCCCCUCAAGAUGAGAUGUCCCAUUCGAAAGAAGUAAACCCCCCUGAAGACGACGAGGUAGAUAGGGCAGGGGUGGAAGUGUGGCAACACAUGGAGCUGACUGUUACUAAUAGGGUGAGGGCUUGACCG
rnacentral:rRNA from 1 species